rnacentral:lncRNA from 1 species
AUGAAGAAUAAGCCUUUUUUGUCAAGGGCUCCUAAAGCUAUUAAACCUUACAGAUGGUGUGUGGAAAAGCUGAAGGAGAAAAAUUGCAGACAAAAAAAAGAGAGAACUUUGCUUAAGGGAGGGGAAAGGAACUCCUACCAAGAGUCGAAGAGAUCCUGCAGAGCUCUUCRAAGUCUUCAAACUGUCUCAUAUAAAACAGCCUGAGAAUCAACAACGAACAGAAGUUUAUG